rnacentral:rRNA from 1 species
GACGAACGCUGGCGGCGUGCUUAACACAUGCAAGUCGAACGGAAAGGCCCCUUUGGGGGUACUCGAGUGGCGAACGGGUGAGUAACACGUGAGUAACCUGCCCUUGACUUCGGGAUAACUUCAGGAAACUGGGGCUAAUACCGGAUAGGAAUCCUUGCUGCAUGGUGGGGGUUGGAAAGCUUCGGCGGUUUUGGAUGGACUCGCGGCUUAUCAGCUUGUUGGUGGGGUAGUGGCUUACCAAGGCUUUGACGGGUAGCCGGCCUGAGAGGGCGACCGGCCACAUUGGGACUGAGAUACGGCCCAGACUCCUACGGGAGGCAGCAGUGGGGAAUAUUGCACAAUGGGCGGAAGCCUGAUGAAGCAACGCCGCGUGCGGGAUGACGGCCUUCGGGUUGUAAACCGCUUUCAGCAGGGGCGAAGCUUGUGGUGACGGUACCUGCAGAAGAAGCACCGGCUAACUACGUG